AAAAAUUCCUUCUGGCUCCAAUUCAAAGUACUCCAAACCGUCAAAUUCCAAUCCAAAGAAUGCCAUUACCAAAUUGAAAUUCAACGCAAGAAACCGUUCCACUCCCAAUUCAAUUCCAUUUCCCAGCUCGACAGCUCCCAAUUCCAAACAUUGAAGCAAAACCAGCAAUUCCAUCCACCCUUGCUCACCGUUCCUAACC
rnacentral:lncRNA from 1 species